AGUGAACGCUGGCGGUAGGCCUAACACAUGCAAGUCGAACGGCAGCACAGUAAGAGCUUGCUCUUACGGGUGGCGAGUGGCGGACGGGUGAGGAAUACAUCGGAAUCUACUUUUUCGUGGGGGAUAACGUAGGGAAACUUACGCUAAUACCGCAUACGACCUACGGGUGAAAGCAGGGGAACUUCGGACCUUGCGCGAUUGAAUGAGCCGAUGUCGGAUUCGCUAGUUGGCGGGGUAAAGGCCCACCAAGGCGACGAUCCGUAGCUGGUCUGAGAGGAUGAUCAGCCACACUGGAACUGAGACACGGUCCAGACUCCUACGGGAGGCAGCAGUGGGGAAUAUUGGACAAUGGGCGCAAGCCUGAUCCAGCCAUACCGCGUGGGUGAAGAAGGCCUUCGGGUUGUAAAGCCCUUUUGUUGGGAAAGAAAAGCAGCAGGUUAAUACCCCGCUGUUCUGACGGUACCCAAAGAAUAAGCACCGGCUAACUUCGU
rnacentral:rRNA from 1 species